rnacentral:misc_RNA from 1 species
AAAAUAUGUUUCUAAUAUUACUGCAGUGGUCUAAAAUUCUUUACCGUCUGUCUUCAGAAGUUUAAAAAUACUCGAUUCGCUUCGAUUACAUUCAAAAGCCAAAAGGGAUACAAGUCUCCUUAAAAGGCAGUUUAAAACACUUAAAUCCAUAAUGAAUGAAAUCACUAGACCUUGUGAUAUAUCAAUUGUUCGUUAUCAAAAAGAUUUGGGAAAAGCCAUUACUCAUCGGAUUUGAGCUCUCAGUCAACAGAUACUUUCCCUAACAAUCAUGUACUUCUUGUAGGUUACACAACCCA